rnacentral:rRNA from 1 species
GUCUACGGCCAUGCUACUCUGAACAAGCCCGAUCCCUUCUGAUCUCAGAAGCCAAGCAGGGUCGGGCCUGGUUAGUACUUGGAUGGGAGACCACCGAGGAAGACCAGGUGCUGUAGAUG